rnacentral:rRNA from 1 species
UGGGGAAUCAUGGUCAAUGGGCGAAAGCCUGAACCUGCGACGCCGCGUGAGUGAUGAAGGUCGUAAGAUCGUAAAACUCUUUUCAGGGAUCUUAAAGCCUGUCUGUCAACAACAGGCAGGUCUGACUCUCCCUGGAAGAAGCCCCAGCCAACUACGUGCCAGCAGCUGCGGUAAUACGUAGGGGGCGAGCGUUAUUCGGAAUUACUGGGUGUAAAGGGUAUGUAGGCGGCCCUUCAAGUCGCGUGUCAAAGUCCAGUGCUCAACGCUGGGUGUGCGCGCGAUACUGACGGGCUUGAGGGCUGGGGAUGUGAGCAGAAUUCCCGGUGUAGUGGUAAAAUGCGUAGAGAUCGAGAGGAACACCAGCGGCGCAGUCGGAUCACUAGACAGUUUCUGACGCUAAGAUACGAAAGCGUGGGGAGCAAACA